UUUAAUAAUUGAUUUUAAAAAUCGACAUCCACAAAUUAUUAUUUACUUUAACAAAUUAAGUGCUGUGUUUUAGCACAUGAUGCUUAAUGAAUUAAUGUGCAAACAUCCAGCAAUUAACCCAGGUCAUGUUUUGCAUUUCUGCUACACAUUUAAAUAUGCUGUGUAACUUCAGAGCAACUGGCCAGCCUUAUAAAUGUAAUGGAAAUUGUGAGAAUUGGAAUGGAUAUUAUAUAAUUAAACAUUACAAUGUAGAAUUUAAUAAAUCUAUUUAGAAAACCCCUAAUCUGGAUCAUAUUCCAAGACAUUUUCCUCGUCUUUCGAUGGAGAGAAAAUAGAAGUGCUGUUUUAAAAGGUAGCAAAAAAUUUUCUCUCUUUUCAAAUCUUUAUUCAAUUAGUGUGAGAAAAUAUAUAGAUCUUGUUGUCUUCAUUAAUGGAACCACAUCCAUCACUUUUGUGCCAAAAGGGGAAAUCAACUUCCCUUUCACGCAUUCUUAUCUCCAACUUCAAUAACCAUUUCUUUAUGUAUCGAUUAUUAUUUUCUUUUACAUUUUGUCUUCAUUAAAUUUUGUUUCAUUUGAUUAAAAACUGUCUCAUUAUUGAACUCAAUUCAAUGCAGUCCUAUCAUGGGUCUACGAUCCCCCCUCUCGGAAAAGUACUUCCUGUCCCCCAAAUCAAAAACAACUAAAAGCCCAACCUAGUGACCCUGUGGGCAGAUCUUCCUGAUCAGAUGCCAAACAAAAUUCCCACAAAAUAGUUUGAAAAUGGCCUAUAUGAAUGGAAAUUUCACUUUGCUAUGAUAGAAUUCUAAUAGAAAUUUUUUCUCUAUAAAAUGAGAAAUAUGCAAUGUUUUUCUUGCACAAUGAACAUGGAUAGGUACAACAAUAUCAUGAAAAUAUAAAACAUUUGUAUUCCAUUCUACAACAUGUCUAAAAAUCAAGGAAAAUGUAAAUCUUAAAAUAGAACAAAUUAGAUUGCUUAUAUUUAUUGGAAUAUUAAAGUUUGUUAUAUCUAAAAUAACUUCAUAAAAGUGAUAAUACACUGAUUUAUUGUGUAAUAAUUGUUUUUGAUUUAACUUAUCCUGUAAUAUUUGCAUUACAUGAUGACACAGUUAUGUCUCUUCACAUCUGACUUAAGUUGAAGACUCCCCUUGGCUGUCUGAUAUAUUUAUCUUAAUAUGUACUGAAUAGUACUUACAUUUGGAAUACUGAAAGUUAAAAUUACUUUUUUUUUCCUAGGUUUGCCAUUAAUUAAAAAUUGAAAUUUUUGCCAUUUCAUAAUGGUUUAUCAAGUUAUCCCAUUGACAUAAAUAUGGAGCCCACAUUUGUAUUAUGGGCCGGAUACAAGGAAUGUUUUUAUGCCUCAAGAAUGUUGCAAUGUCCACAAGGAUUUUGAUAAGCACUUCAGAAUAAUAAAUGGUAAAUUUGCUGAAACCAGAAAUACAAAAUGCCUGUAAUAAAAGUCCAAAGUACGAAGGAGAAUAAAUCAACAUAAAACGGGAAAACUGAUAUCAUUUUUAUUGCAACAAGAUAUUGUCAUGGUGAACAAAUUCAUCAAAGCUAGAAAGAGUGGGGAAACAGUUCUGUGGGACAAAUAAAGAUGAAAGAACAGUGUAAUCUGUAACAGGAUUUUGUGAGGUCACAGAUAUGCCCAUAAUAUCAGGAUAUCCAAACAGUUCUGAAUUGUAAUUGGGUGUGUUUGGUACAGAGACAAACUCCACAGUUACUAAAUAAUUGUCCUGAUUUAUUGUAACUUAAAAAUAAGCUUACAGCUACAACUGUCGACAAUAUCAGAUCUUCCAAUUUGUUUUUCUCUGAAAGUGCGAAUGUCCUGCUAGAACUAUCUUUCUGGAUCUCUUGGGAAGUCUGCGGUCCUGGGCGUUGAUUGGAGAAAAUCUAUUGGGGGGGACAGGGUAAUCUGGUUUAAUGUCAUGAUGUAGAGAUUUUUAACUGAGGAUGGUUCUGUGCAAUAGGAAGGCAGGGAAUAGAAGCUCCCUGUGGUCUUGAUACAUAUUUUUAUAAUUUUUCGGUUACCAGAUUGAACACUUUGAUUGGUCUUUUAACAUUAAUAGUUUUAUAAAAUUAUUUUAUAAAUUGCCUUUUACAUUUUUGUGUGGUUCAACUACACUUCCAGAGCUUCACAAUUGGACAAUGUUUAGCGACCUAACUUUAGUAUAAAUGUAUCGGAUAUUUUCUAUAAAUAAAUAAAUUUUGUUGUAA